rfam:Emiliania huxleyi CCMP1516 EMIHTscaffold_80_Cont2839, whole genome shotgun sequence.
UCCCCGGUGUUUCUAAACACCACCCUCCUGAUAAACAAACUUCAGU